rnacentral:rRNA from 1 species
AGCGGCGGACGGGUGCGUAACACGUAGGAAUCUGCCCGGUAGUGGGGGAUAGCCCGGAGAAAUUCGGAUUAAUACCGCAUACGCCCUAAGGGGGAAAGCAGGGGAUCUUCCGACCUUGCGCUAUCGGAUGAGCCUGCGUCGGAUUAUCUUGUUGGUGGGGUAAAGGCCUACCAAGGCUACGAUCCGUAGCUGGUCUGAGAGGAUGAUCAGCCACACUGGGACUGAGACACGGCCCACACUCCUACGGGAGGCAGCAGUGGGGAAUAUUGCACAAUGGGCGCAAGCCUGAUGCAGCUAUGCCGCGUGUGUGAAGAACGCCUUAGGGUUGUAAAGCACUUUCAGUAGGGAGGAGAGGUUUACGGUUAAUACCCGUGAGCUGUGACGUUACCUACAGAAGAAGCACCGGCUAACUCCGUGCCAGCAGCCGCGGUAAUACGGAGGGUGCGAGCGUUAAUCGGAAUUACUGGGCGUAAAGCGUGCGUAUGCGGCUAUUUAAGUUGGAUGUGAAAGCCCCGGGCUCAACCCGGGAACUGCAUCCGAAACUGAGUGGCUAGAGUACGGGAGAGGAGUGUGGAAUUUCCUGUGUAGCGGUGAAAUGCGUAGAUAUAGAGAAAGAACACCAGUGGCGAAUGCGACACUCUGGCCUGAUACUGA